rnacentral:rRNA from 1 species
CAGUAGCCGCGGGAAUACGAAGGGGGCUAGCGUUGUUCGGAAUCACUGGGCGUAAAGGGUGCGCAGGCGGGCACAUCAGUCAGGGGUGAAAUCCCGAGGCUCAACCUCGGAACGGCCUUUGAUACUGUGUGUCUUGAGUCCGGAAGAGGUGAGUGGAACUGCGAGUGUAGAGGUGAAAUUCGUAGAUAUUCGCAAGAACACCGGUGGCGAAGGCGGCUCACUGGUCCGGAACUGACGCUGAGGCACGACAGCGUGGGGAGCAAACAGGAUUAGAUACCCGUGUAGUCCCUGUCUCUUAUCC